rnacentral:rRNA from 1 species
AUGAUUCAGCGGCGGACGGGUGAGUAAUGCCUAGGAAUCUGCCUGGUAGUGGGGGACAACGUUUCGAAAGGAACGCUAAUACCGCAUACGUCCUACGGGAGAAAGUGGGGGAUCUUCGGACCUCACGCUAUCAGAUGAGCCUAGGUCGGAUUAGCUAGUUGGUGAGGUAAAGGCUCACCAAGGCGACGAUCCGUAACUGGUCUGAGAGGAUGAUCAGUCACACUGGAACUGAGACACGGUCCAGACUCCUACGGGAGGCAGCAGUGGGGAAUAUUGGACAAUGGGCGAAAGCCUGAUCCAGCCAUGCCGCGUGUGUGAAGAAGGUCUUCGGAUUGUAAAGCACUUUAAGUUGGGAGGAAGGGCAGUAAGUUAAUACCUUGCUGUUUUGACGUUACCAACAGAAUAAGCACCGGCUAACUUCGUGCCAGCAGCCGCGGUAAUACGAAGGGUGCAAGCGUUAAUCGGAAUUACUGGGCGUAAAGCGCGCGUAGGUGGUUCGU